CGGGGAUAGCCCAUGGAAACGUGGAUUAACACCCCAUAGUACUUUUAUCCUGCAUGGGAUGUGAGUUAAAUGUUUAAGGUAUCGGAUGGGCAUGCGUCCUAUUAGUUAGUUGGCGGGGUAACAGCCCACCAAGACGAUGAUAGGUAGGGGUUCUGAGAGGAAGGUCCCCCACAUUGGAACUGAGACACGGUCCAAACUCCUACGGGAGGCAGCAGUGAGGAAUAUUGGUCAAUGGACGAGAGUCUGAACCAGCCAAGUCGCGUGAGGGAAGACUGCCCUAUGGGUUGUAAACCUCUUUUAUAAGGGAAGAAUAAGUUCUACGUGUAGAAUGAUGCCUGUACCUUAUGAAUAAGCAUCGGCUAACUCCGUGCCAGCAGCCGCGGUAAUACGGAGGAUGCGAGCGUUAUCCGGAUUUAUUGGGUUUAAAGGGUGCGUAGGCGGUUUAUUAAGUUAGUGGUUAAAUAUUUGAGCUAAACUCAAUUGUGCCAUUAAUACUGGUAAACUGGAGUACAGACGAGGUAGGCGGAAUAAGUUAAGUAGCGGUGAAAUGCAUAGAUAUAACUUAGAACUCCGAUAGCGAAGGCAGCUUACCAGACUGUAACUGACGCUGAUGCACGAGAGCGUGGGUAGCGAACAGGAUUAGAUACCCUGGUAGUCCACGCCGUAAACGAUGCUCACUGGUUCUGUGCGAUAUAUUGUACGGGAUUAAGCGAAAGUAUUAAGUGAGCCACCUGGGGAGUACGUCGGCAACGAUGAAACUCAAAGGAAUUGACGGGGGCCCGCACAAGCGGAGGAACAUGUGGUUUAAUUCGAUGAUACGCGAGGAACCUUACCUGGGUUUAAAUGGGAAAUGUCGUAUUUGGAAACAGAUAUUCUCUUCGGAGCGUUUUUCAAGGUGCUGCAUGGUUGUCGUCAGCUCGUGCCGUGAGGUGUCGGCUUAAGUCCCAUAACGAGCGCAACCCUUACCGUUAGUUGCUAGCAUGUAAUGAUGAGCACUCUAACGGGACUGCCACCGUAAGGUGAGAGGAAGGCGGGGAUGACGUCAAAUCAGCACGGCCCUUACACCCAGGGCUACACACGUGUUACAAUGGCCGGUACAGAGGGCCGCUACCAGGUGACUGGAUGCCAAUCUCAAAAGCCGGUCGUAGUUCGGAUUGGAGUCUGUAACCCGACUCCAUGAAGUUGGAUUCGCUAGUAAUCGCGCAUCAGCCAUGG
rnacentral:rRNA from 1 species